rnacentral:rRNA from 1 species
CACUGUCACUCCUACGGGAGGCAGCAGUGGGGAAUAUUGCACAAUGGGGGAAACCCUGAUGCAGCCAUGCCGCGUGUGUGAAGAAGGCCUUCGGGUUGUAAAGCACUUUCAGUAGGGAGGAAGGUAGUGUAGUUAACACCUGCAUUAUUUGACGUUACCUACAGAAGAAGCACCGGCUAACUCCGUGCCAGCAGCCGCGGUAAUACGGAGGGUGCGAGCGUUAAUCGGAAUUACUGGGCGUAAAGCGCAUGCAGGCGGCCUGUUAAGUCAGAUGUGAAAGCCCCGGGGCUUAACCUCGGAAUUGCAUUUGAAACUGGCAGGCUAGAGUCUUGUAGAGGGGGUAGAAUUUCAGGUGUAGCGGUGAAAUGCGUAGAGAUCUGAAGGAAUACCAGUGGCGAAGGCGGCCCCCUGGACAAAGACUGACGCUCAGAUGCGAAAGCGUGGGGAGCAAACAGGAUUAGAUACCCUGGUAG